ensembl:snoRNA U3 Small nucleolar RNA U3
AAGGCUAUGCUUUUAGGGAUCAUUUCUCUAGUUAGUGACUGGGGAAGGGUGGUUGUAAAAGCCUGGCCUUGCUAACCACAAUGAGGAACUGUAGUGUUUUUUUCUGAGUAUGACAAUGGUAGAGAGUACUGUUCUAUAACAGCUGUUUUCUGCUGUAGAAGAGUGUCUUGCUCUUUCUCACAAGAGCAGGGGAAAGAAACACAGUCUGAGUGGU